rnacentral:lncRNA from 1 species
UGUAAACUAGGUUUUCUCCUUCCUCAGGUUAAGAAGCCGAUUCACUCCACAGUCCUCAGCUUGGGCUGGCACCCCCACAACAUUUUGCUGGCUGCAGGGUCAUGUGACUUUAAAUGCAGUGUUUUCUCGGCCUACAUCAAGGAGGUGGACGAGAAGCCGGCCAGCUGAUGGCAGAGUUUGGCAGCAGCAGCAGCAGCGCCAGUGGCUGGGUGUGGGGCGUCAGCUUCUCGGCUAGCAGGAACUGCCUGGCCUGGGUCAGCCACAGACACCUCCAGAGCAUGCAGCAGCGCCUGUAGCCAGCAGGCCCCCGUCUCUG